UACAGAGGUCCCAAGCGUUGUUCGGAUUCAUUGGGCGUAAAGGGUGCGUAGGUGGCGUCGUAAGUCGGGUGUGAAAUCUCGGGCUAACUCCGAAACUGCAUUCGAUACUGCGGUGCUUGAGGACUGGAGAGGAGACUGGAAUUUACGGUGUAGCAGUGAAAUGCGUAGAGAUCGUAAGGAAGACCAGUGGCGAAGGCGGGUCUCUGGACAGUUCCUGACACUGAGGCACGAAGGCCAGGGGAGCAAACGGGG
rnacentral:rRNA from 1 species